rnacentral:rRNA from 1 species
AUACGGAGGGUGCAAGCGUUAUUCGGAAUCACUGGGCGUAAAGGACGCGUAGGCGGGUUGGCAAGUCAGAUGUGAAAUCCUACAGCUUAACUGUAGAACUGCACUUGAAACUGCUAACCUAGAGUAUGGGAGGGGGAGAUGGAAUUAGUGGUGUAGGGGUAAAAUCCGUAGAUAUCACUAGGAAUACCGAAAGCGAAGGCGAUCUCCUGGAACAUAACUGACGCUAAGGCGUGAAAGCGUGGGGAGCAAACAGGAUUAGAUACCCUAGUAGUCC